rnacentral:rRNA from 1 species
AUUGAACGCUGGCGGCAUGCUUUGCACAUGCAAGUCGAACGGCAGCGCGGGCUUCGGCCUGGCGGCGAGUGGCGAACGGGUGAGUAAUACAUCGGAACGUGCCCAGUAGUGGGGGAUAGCUCGGCGAAAGCCGGAUUAAUACCGCAUACGACCUGAGGGUGAAAGCGGGGGAUCUUCGGACCUCGCGCUAUUGGAGCGGCCGAUGGCAGAUUAGCUAGUUGGUGGGGUAAAGGCCUACCAAGGCGACGAUCUGUAGCUGGUCUGAGAGGACGACCAGCCACACUGGGGCUGAGACACGGCCCAGACUCCUACGGGAGGCAGCAGUGGGGAAUUUUGGACAAUGGGCGAAAGCCUGAUCCAGCAAUGCCGCGUGUGUGAUGAAGGCCUUCGGGUUGUAAAGCACUUUUGGCGGGAACGAAAAGGACUGUGCCAAUACCACGGUUCGAUGACGGUACCCGCAGAAUAAGCACCGGCUAACUACGUG